rnacentral:rRNA from 1 species
ACGGGUGAGUAAUGCCUAGGAAUCUGCCUGGUAGUGGGGGAUAACGUUCGGAAACGGACGCUGAUACCGCAUACGUCCUACGGGAGAAAGCAGGGGACCUUCGGGCCUUGCGCUAUCAGAUGACCCUAGGUCGGAUUACCUAGUUGGUGAGGUAAUGGCUCACCAAGGCGACCAUCCGUAACUGGUCUGAGAGGAUGAUCAGUCACACUGGAACUGAGACACGGUCCAUACUCCUACGGGAGGCAGCAAUGGGGAAUAUUGGACAAUGGGCGAAAGCCUGAUCCACCCAUGCCGCGUGUGUGAAGAAGGUCUUCGGAUUGUGGAGCAUUUUUACUUUGUAAGGAAGGGCAGUUACCUAAUACGUGAUUGUUUUGACGUUACCGACAGAAUAAGCACCGGCUAACUCUGUGCCAGCAGCCGCGGUAAUACAGAGGGUGCAAGCGUUAAUCGGAAUUACUGGGCGUAAAGCGCGCGUAGGUGGUUUGUUAAGUUGGAUGUGAAAUCCCCGGGCUCAACCUGGGAACUGCAUUCAAAACUGACUGACUAGAGUAUGGUAGAGGGUGGUGGAAUUUCCUGUGUAGCGGUG